UCAGAGGCAACACUCUGCAUAAACUAGUUCCCCUCUCUUUCAACCUCCUCCUACUCUCUCUUAUAUAGAUUGGACCGCGAAGUGAGAGACGUGUCCACCACCGGCACCACCUCGCUCAUUGGCAGCUGUGAGAUGGGAGAAAUCCUUUUUUCUAAUGAAGAAGGAGAGGCAUCGACCCCAGCCCCUGUACUUAAUUAAAAGGGAUUCUUCACAGACUUCAUUAGGAGAACCUCCACUGGCUCCCUGUCCCACACGGCCUCCAACUCAAAGUCCUUCUCACUCAAAGCCUCCAUAACCACGCCCCCUCCUGCCUCACCAACCUGCUCCACGGCCACACUCCUUCCCACAGCCUCCGCUCCUCUGAUGCCAACCUCCUGACCCCACCAUUCAGGACCAAGCACCGGACCUGGGCGACAGAGACUUCUCCAUAGCUGCCCCCUCCCCCUGGAACUCUCUCCCCAAUACAUUUGAGACUCUGCUGACCUCUCCGAAUUACUCAUCGAAACUCAUCUUCUAAAAACGGCUUUUAACUUAUGAAUUAUGUGUGUAUUUUACUGUAUUCUAAUGUAAAGUGUCUUGGAGUACCAUGAAAAACGCUCUAAUGAAUAAAAUGUACUCAUUAUUAUUA